CCAACAAAAGGAACUGGCGAGGA
rnacentral:piRNA from 1 species